UCAUUUCAAUGGAUGAUCAUGAAGGUCUAGGUUGGUGGCCUCCAUUGCACUUUGGAGGGAUGCCAACCUAAGGUUAUCCAAAUGAUGGAUCCUACAUCAUUAUUUUUUUGC
rnacentral:snRNA from 1 species